UCCCUUUAAUCGAACGACAGUCUUUUCCAUAAAAAAAUGAAAACACAGAAAGAUGCAUACAAUUGCAUCGAUCAUAACCAAAAUACAAUUUCCCAUUUGAGUCACUGAUUUGUUACAGUAUAACAUCUAGAAAUGCAAAUCUAACUGACCGCGUAUGCAGUAAUACAUAUACUUCAUCCAUGGAUGAAUCUGAACAAUCCUAGCAGGAUAAUAGCAUAGAUAAACAGGAACAGGAACAACCCGAUCAACAUUCUAUCUGCAACCCG
rnacentral:lncRNA from 1 species